GGUCCAGACUUUGAUUCUGGCUCAGGAUGAACGCUGGCGGCGCAUUUAAGACAUGCAAGUCGAACGAAAAUUUACGCUUAAAGAGUUGAUUAGUUUACUAAGAGAUGAUUUAUUGUAAAUUUUAGUGGCGGACUGGUGAGUAAUACAUAGGUAAUCUGCCUUUUAGAGGGGAAUAACUAGGAGAAAUCCUAGCUAAUACCGCGUAAGACCACACUUAGGCAUCUAAGAGAGGUCAAAGGAGUAAUCCGCUAAAAGAUGAGCCUGUGGCUGAUUAGUUAGUUGGUGGGGUAAGAGCCUACCAAGACGAUGAUCAGUAGCCGAGCUGAGAGGCUGGCCGGCCACAUUGGGACUGAGAUACGGCCCAGACUCCUACGGGAGGCAGCAGUUGGGAAUAUUGGACAAUGGAGGAAACUCUGAUCCAGUGACGCCGCGUGAAGGAAGAAGGUCUUCGGAUUGUAAACUUAUUUUAUCAGGGAAGAAGAAAGUGACAGUACCUGAAGAAAAAGGACCGGCAAACUACGUGCCAGCAGCCGCGGUAAUACGUAGGGUCCAAGCGUUAUCCGGAUUUACUGGGUGUAAAGGGCGAGUAGACGGCGCUGUAAGUCAGCUGUGAAAACUUAGGGCUCAACCUUAAGCCUGCAGCUGAAACUGUAGUGCUAGAGUGCAGGAGAGGUAAGCGGAAUUCCUAGUGUAGCGGUGAAAUGCGUAGAUAUUAGGAGGAACACCAGUGGCGAAGGCGGCUUACUGGACUGUAACUGACGUUGAGGCGCGAAAGUGUGGGGAGCAAACAGGAUUAGAUACCCUGGUAGUCCACACCGUAAACGAUGGAUACUAGGUGUAGGCGAGAUAUCGUCUGUGCCGGCGCAAACGCAAUAAGUAUCCCACCUGGGGAGUACGGCCGCAAGGUUGCAACUCAAAUGAAUUGACGG
rnacentral:rRNA from 2 species